rnacentral:tRNA from 1 species
CCUUCGAUAGCUCAGUUGGUAGAGCGGAGGACUGUAGAUCCUUAGGUCGCUGGUUCGAAUCCGGCUCGACGAA